rnacentral:rRNA from 1 species
GAUGAACGCUGGCGGCGUGCCUAAUACAUGCAAGUCGAGCGAACGGACGAGAAGCUUGCUUUUCUGAUGUUAGCGGCGGACGGGUGAGUAACACGUGGAUAACCUACCUAUAAGACUGGGAUAACUUCGGGAAACCGGAGCUAAUACCGGAUAAUAUUUUGAACCGCAUGGUUCAAAAGUGAAAGACGGUCUUGCUGUCACUUAUAGAUGGAUCCGCGCUGCAUUAGCUAGUUGGUAAGGUAACGGCUUACCAAGGCAACGAUGCAUAGCCGACCUGAAAGGGUGAUCGGCCACACUGGAACUGAGACACGGUCCAGACUCCUACGGUAGGCAGCAGUAGGGAAUCUUCCGCAAUGGGCGAAAACCUGACGGAGCAACGCCGCGUGAGUUAUGAAGGUCUUCGGAUCGUAAAACUCUGUUAUUAGGGAAGAACAUAUGUGUAAGUAACUGUGCACAUCUUGACGGUACCUAAUCAGAAAGCCACGGCUAACUACGUG